GACAGAGGGGGCAAGCGUUGCUCGGAAUUACUGGGCGUAAAGGGCGCGUAGGCGGGAUGGCAAGUCGGUCGUGAAAUCCCUCGGCUCAACUGAGGAUCGUCGAUCGAUACUGCCGUUCUUGAGGAUUGCAGAGGAGACUGGAAUUCCCGGUGUAGCGGUGAAAUGCGCAGAGAUCGGGAGGAACACCCGUAGCGAAGGCGGCACUCUGGGCCGGUACUGACGCUCAUGCACGAAAGCGUGGGGAGCAAACAGG
rnacentral:rRNA from 1 species